UCCCUUGUGGCUCAGCUGGUAAAGAACCUGCCUGCAAUGCAGGAGACCUGAGUUCGAUCCCCAGGUUGGGAA
rnacentral:tRNA from 1 species